rnacentral:misc_RNA from 1 species
GAUAAUUUGAUAUAAGAAUGUUUGUUCCAAGUGGAAAAGGACAUGCUCCUCAAUAUGAUUUGAUGUCUUAUGCAUCCUUUAAAGGUUCAUGAUAAGUGCAUGUUGAUUCUUGAUUAUGCAAUUCCAUUAUCAAGUUUAGUUCCUGCACUCUUGAAAGGCUAAUCAUACUGCAUGUUAUUUCUCUGGUUGUUCUUACAGCAGUCCUAGACAUUUUCUUUUCAUGGAUAUUGAACAUGGUAACAUGAGAACUCUGAGGUGUCCAUUCUAUUUUCCUUUGGGUUUGUCAUAAACUCAGUGCCAGAGCAAUUUGAUACUGGAAUGUUCUGUUCAAAAUGGUAGUGGACCUGAUUCUUGAUAUGUAUUUGACAUCUCUGCUUGCUGAUCUUUUUAGCAUCUUCAUUACAGGAGUGUUCAUUUUAAUGCAUGUUUGACUACACCAGUGCUCCAUGCUAGAGCCCUAUUGGUCUUACAACAAUAAGAUGAUUUUUUUAAGCAUAUUGUGAUCAUACCUUGUGUCCUAGCAACUUGUGUAAAAUGAAGAUAAUGAUGGGGUUGUCAUACAUAGAUGUCCCUCCUCUUCCUAGUUAAAAGAAUUUUUCUCCUUAUGUCCAAGUCACUUGCAUAUAUUUACAUGGUUAGCAAGAGUUAUGUGACAGGUAAAGGUGGAAAUCCGUAUAAAUACACUUAAAUAUUUUUGCCUACUGUGUAGGACAAUCAUGGCUUUAUGGAA